CGGGGUGCAGCAGGCGCGAAAACUCUACAAUGCAGGCAACUGCGAUAGGGGAACAUCGAGUGAUCCUCAUAUUGGGGGUCUGUCCACCCGUCUAAAAAACGGGUGUUAGCAAGGGCCGGGCAAGACCGGUGCCAGCCGCCGCGGUAAUACCGGCGGCUCGAGUGGUGGCCGAUAUUAUUGAGUCUAAAGGGUCCGUAGCCGGCUUUGCAAGUCUCUCGGGAAAUCCAGCGGCUUAACCGUUGGUCGUCCGGGGGGUACUACAUUGCUUGGGACUGGGAGAGGUAGGAGGUACUCAGGGGGUAGGAGUGAAAUCCUGUAAUCCUUUGGGGACCACCGGUGGCGAAGGCGUCCUACCAGAACAGGUCCGACGGUGAGGGACGAAAGCUAGGGGCACGAACCGGAUUAGAUACCCGGGUAGUCCUAGCCGUAAACGAUGCUCGCUAGGUGUCACAACAGUCGUGAACUGUUGUGGUGCCGUAGGGAAGCCGUGAAGCGAGCCACUUGGGAAGUACGACCGCAAGGUUAAACUUAAAGGAAUUGGCGGGGGAGCACAAGGGCGAAUCGCG
rnacentral:rRNA from 1 species